rnacentral:tRNA from 1 species
GCUCCAGUGGCGCAAUCGGUCAGCGCGCGGUACUUAUAAUGCCGAGGUUGUGAGUUCGAGCCUCAUCUGGAGCA